rnacentral:lncRNA from 1 species
GAGUAGCUGGGAUUACAGGCGUGUGCCACCAUGCCCGGCUAAUUUUUGUGUUUUUAGUAGAGACCGGGGAAGGUAUGGGCCCUCUUUUGAGAAAAAUGCAGAGUGACACUGAAUUUUGUAACUACAUCAGGAGGCUCUUGAACCUUCUGCAGCUCACUCGUGGAGUUUGUAGAGAUGCGUAAUAAUCCGAAGUGUUAAGGAAGAAGGUUCUGUUGAGAAAAAGUUGGAGGGCUGAAAGGGAUGCCUUUCGCUAUUUCGACAUGUGUGGCUGUACCCCAGAGUGCCCUGGCUAACACGCAAAACCAUGAAUUAGGCGGCUUGGCGAGGCUCAGUGGAGGCUGGGGCCGAGAGUCAUGUCAAAGUUUGUGGGGUUAACCUGCACCCAGUGACAGUCAUGGCGAAGUUUGUGAGGUUAACUCGCACCCAGUAACGCUGUUCCAAUGCAAGGUGUGUAUUUGGUGUCAUCCACGGGAAGAGGAAACAGCAAAUUUUCUCAUGGCCUUGGCAGUUCCACAUGAUGGACAUUUCAUAUCUGCAGUUUUCUUCGCAUGAGAUGGCUUUUUUGCACAAAAACACUGGAAUCCAGUGAGCAAGAAUGAUAGAAUGCAAGAUGGAUUUCCACAUGAGGAAGUGUCACGAACAAGCGUUUUGCAUCUCUGUCAGCUGGAUUCCCCCAUGUGUACGUAUGUGAGAACAUGCCGUGUUUCCUGUCUGUAAUGGUAGAGGCAGCCCUGAUACUGGAUUUUCACCUGAGGAUGGAUAGAUCUUCAGGGUUCAAGUGGGUUUGCAUCUGGACUUUAGGGUGGCCCUGUAGGCCCUGUGUGAGAAGCCCCCUUCCCAGUGAACUUUCCCUUGUGUGCCCGCGUGGACAGCCAACAGGGGGAGCAGUGCGAGCGUGAAGGCAGACAGUGGCCUGGCCCAGUCUGAUGGUGCAGAAGCUGAGCUGCAGAGGCGUUAGGUACCUGCCUCAUAAGUGGUAGAGACUCCAGUGUCACCCUGCCCCUCACGUUCGGAGCCCCCGAGGGAGGGUCUGCCGGGCAGCUCAGCCCAGCACUCUGUAAGGAAAUCUUCAGUGCCACUGCCCAGGAUGUCUUCCCGGGGAUUGGGCCUGAAUGUCUUGACCAUGCCGUGCUGGAGGGAGAGACCCACCGACCCUGUGGGGCUGGUCCCUACAUCUGGCGCUCUGACGUGGGGCUCUCCCUCGCUGUGUGAAGUUGCACCCUGAGUGCGGGAUCAGCGGAGGAGUUCAACGAGAGAUUCCUGAGGAUUGCAGUCUAUAAACUUGGUGUCUGCAGAUGCCUCUAAGGAGUCCGAAACCAAGUCCGAAGUCAACAACAAGCAAUGAUGGCGAUGGCGAUUCUAGUUAAUAAAAAGGGGGGAGAUGUGGGCGGCAAGCCACCCAGGCACCGAGGCAAGAGACAGAGGACACGAGCUGUUCCAGUAUAAUAAAAUAUAAAACAAGAAUAGUUAUACCAGAUAUAGAUCUUAGAUAUGAUUAUAUACGAAUAUCAUUAAUC